UGGUUAGCCAUUUUGUCAGUGUGUGUUCAAAGGUUGGCGCUUUGUAACUCUCCAGCACGACGUUCGACACAGGUUGACACCGGACUGGGCUCAGACACAGUUGAUCCCUGAACACACUGAGACAACUUCCGGAUUCUAAGUGAGACAAUGGAUACAGCAACCACACUGCAACGCAAUGUAUCGUCAUGUUGCUAAGUGUAAUGAGAUGCUAAAACUGACUGAGAAUGGGCACCACAGAAGAAACGGUGAACUGUGUGGAAGGACAGAACUGAAGUCAGAAAGCUAGUGUUAACAUUAAAAAGUUUUCCAAAUUAUGCUUAACGGUAUUUAUAACUUGCCUCUACCUCAUAAA